AUGGACGACGACACCUCUUUUCAACCAAAAAAUAGUUCCAAAAUGGCAGAACUGUUUAUGGAAUGUGAAGAAGAGGAGUUGGAACCAUGGCAGAAGAAAGUAGAAACACCGGAGGAGGAAGAAGAUGAUGAGCUGAUCUUUGUUGGAGCGAUACCAGGUUCAAAAUCACCCACUUCAAGUGAACUCGACGAAGACUCUUCAUCAGGUCCAGAGGCUGCCUUUCCUAGAUUUCAUCCUGAGUCUCGAUCUUCAAGUCCAGAGGCUGCCUUUCCUAUAUUUCAUCCUGAGUCUAGAUCUUCAUAUAACUCUGAUAUCGUUCAGAACGUGCCUAAACCUGAUUUUGCAAAGAAUUCAUCACAAGUUGAGUCAGAUGAGUCUUCAGACUUACCAUUUUGCUUGAGCCAGAAUACAGUACCACUGUCCCAAGAUGGAUCCACAAUUUAUAUAGAAGGUCUAGAUGAAACUCUGCCUAAAAUAAAACAUUCUGAUAUUUCUAAAGUAAACACUGUUAAUCCACAAAAGCCAAAGAUCAACAAAAGUGUUUCUGAAAUAGAUCCUUGUGCUUCAUGGUCUUUAAUUCAUUAUUCUUCAGCAACAUCAUCUUAUGUCAUGUGGUCAAAAGGUACACAUACCGUAUCAACUGCCAAUAAAACUGGAACAUUUUUUGUAAGAGCUUGUCCGAAGUGCAAUGUUCAGUUCAAUCUUUUGGAUCCUUUGAAAUACCACAUGAAGGUUUGUUGCCCAGACAUGGUAGAUACAUUUAUGGAAAUGAUUAAAAUAGAGCUUUCAAGCAUUGAAAAUAAAAAUAUGACUGGUGCAGAGAAAGGAAAACUGAUUAUGUUAGUUAGUGACUUUUACUAUGGAAGACAUGAAGGAGGUUUUGAUGAUGAGGAGAAGACUUAUACAACCUUUAAAUGCUUCAGUUGCUUGAAAGUUCUUAAAAAUAAUAUUAGGUUUAUGAACCACAUGAAGCAUCACUUGGAACUUGAGAAGCAGAACACUGAGAGUUGGGAAAACCACACCACCUGCCAGCACUGCUACCGUCAAUACCCGACGCCAUUCCAGCUGCAGUGCCACAUUGAGAGCACACACACUCCCCUUGAGUUUUCCACUAUUUGUAAAAUCUGUGAAUUAUCAUUUGAAACUGAACAUAUUCUUCUGCAACAUAUGAAGGACACUCAUAAACCUGGUGAAAUGCCAUAUAUUUGCCAGGUUUGCCAGUAUAGAUCAUCAUCAUUUUCUGAUGUAGAAGCUCAUUUUAGAGCAUCCCAUGAAAAUACUAAGAACUUGCUGUGUCCAUUUUGCCUCAAAGUUAGUAGGAUGGCAACUCCCUACAUGAAUCAUUACAUGAAGCAUCAGAAGAAAGGAAUUCAUCGUUGUACACAGUGCAGACUACAAUUUUUGACCUACAAGGAGAAACUGGUUCACAAGCUUGAACAUCGGACAUUUAUAAAGCCUAAAGAGCUAGAGGGAUUGCCUCCUGGGACAAAAGUCACUAUCCGAGCUUCAGUUGGAUCUCUUCAUUCAGGACCGUCAACUUCCAAGAGUAUUCUGUCUUCCAGUAGUUCUGCAAGCACUUCUCUGCAGGUCUCACCUUCAAAGUCUAAAACUACGACUACUGGAAGUUCUCCAAGAUCUAAUGCAAGUGAAUAUAAGACAAGAAAGUUUCGUGCAACUACAUCCACUAGAAGUAAACCUAGUACCAGUAAGCAAGGUAGAGGUGCAGCUAAAUGCAGAGCAAAAACCUCUUGCAAGCCAAAGAAAAAGCGUAACAGGAAGAGUAAAAUCAGCAUAGCUUUGAAGAACUUACGGUGUCGUCGGGGAAUAUACACAUGCAUUGAAUGUCAUACCAAAAUAAAAGAUUUUGCAAGCCACUUUUCAUUAUUUGUGCACUGUAAUUUUUGCAAAUACAGCACUAACUGCAACAAAGCCUUUGUAAAUCAUAUGCUGAGCUUUCAUGCCAGCCAGCCAGCUAAACGGUUUUGCAUUUUUAAGAGGCUUUCUAGAACUCUCAGGGGCAUUACUCUAGUGUGCCUUAAAUGUGAUUUCCUGGUUGAUUCUUCGGCUCUGGAUCUUAUGGCUAAGCACUUAAGCCAACGUAAAACUCACACUUGCCAAGUUAUAAUAGAGAAUGUUCCUGAAAGUACCUCAGCUUUUGAACCCACUUCUGCCCUCUUGUUGAAAUAG
rnacentral:lncRNA from 1 species